rnacentral:tRNA from 1 species
CACCGCGUAGUGUAGUGGUUAGCACACUCGACUAACAAUUGAGAGGGCCGGGUUCGAGUCCCGGGGCGGCGA